GAUGAACGCUGGCGGCGUGCCUAACACAUGCGAGUCGAGCGAUGAAGUUUCCUUCGGGAAAUGGAUUAGCGGCGGACGGGUGAGUAACACGUGGGUAACCUGCCUCAUAGUGGGGGAUAGCCUUCCGAAAGGGAGAUUAAUACCGCAUAACAUCAUUAGAUGGCAUCAUUUAAUGAUCAAAGGAUUUAUUCGCUAUGAGAUGGACCCGCGUCGCAUUAUCUAGUUGGUAGGGUAAUGGCUUACCAAGGCGACGAUGCGUAGCCGACCUGAGAGGGUGAUCGGCCACAUUGGGACUGAGACACGGCCCAGACUCCUACGGGAGGCAGCAGUGGGGAAUAUUGCACAAUGGGGGAAACCCUGAUGCAGCAACGCCGCGUGAGUGAUGACGGUCUUCGGAUUGUAAAGCUCUGUCUUUGGGGACGAUAAUGACGGUACCCAAGGAGGAAGCCACGGCUAACUAC
rnacentral:rRNA from 1 species